rnacentral:rRNA from 1 species
UACGUAGGGUGCAGGCGUUAAUCGGAAUUACUGGGCGUAAAGCGCGCGCAGGCGGUCUCUUAAGACAGGUGUGAAAUCCCCGGGCUCAACCUGGGAACUGCAUUUGUGACUGCACAGCUGGAGUGCGGCAGAGGGGGAUGGAAUUCCGCGUGUAGCAGUGAAAUGCGUAGAUAUGCGGAGGAACACCGACGGCGAAGGCAAUCCCCUGGGCCUGCACUGACGCUGAGGCACGAAAGCGUGGGGAGCAAACAGG